UUAAUAGUUUCUCUCUUUACCUUUUCUCCUCAGAACCAAUCCAUGGGGGAGUCAAAGGAGGACACUUCCUUCCACUUCUCCACCUUUCCCUUCUCCAAGCUAGUUACAAUGGCUGUUCAGAAUUUUGGAUAUUCUUGUGAUGUUGAACCAGCAUAUUCCUAUUGCUGUGCUUCCUGAUUCUGUAGAAAUGAUCCUCAUCCUUCAGUGAACUGUGAGACAGGCAAAAAGAUUUCACCUAUAAUCCAUGUGGGACAACAGGGCUAGCAGCCUGCUAUGACAAGUGACACAGGGAACUCCUUUAUCCCAUCUGCCUCCUCUAAUAUCACAGGAGACAAAGGAAGCUUGGAAGAAUUUGCAAGAAGACUACUUUCUGCUGGAUGGAUCCUAUCAGAUGCAACACUAUGUUGCCUACCACAAUUGCUGCAAGACUUACUAUCAAAAAAUAUUUCAACCCUGGUAAGAUCCGAAGUCCUUACACUAAGGUGGGAAUCAUUUGUAGUGGAAAUAUAGAGUAGGAUUUCACAGAAUCACAGAAUCAUUGAAGUUGGGAAAGCCUUCCUAGACCAUCAAGUCCAAGCUGUGAUUCUACCUUAUCACCCAGACCAGAGCACUGAGUGCCACAUCCAGCCUUCCUUGGACACCUCCAGGGAGGAGACGUUACCAAAUAUACUGACUUAUAGGAUUUUCCUUUAAAUUUUCCUCUGUGCUGCCUUUCUAGACUAUUUUUCCAUUCAAAAACAAUAUUUCUAUUUGAAAAUGAAAGUAAUUUUGAUGACAAAAAUAUUCUACCUGAUAAACUUCCAAAGGGACUCUCUGACAAUGAAUGUGCUUCCUGGUAACUGAUUCCAGGCACAAUUUUCACAUUCUCUCCUAUAACAAACACAACUCUUAGGAGCACUUGAACAUCGUGACAUCUUCCUUAAGAUGACAAUAUAGCCAAAGAAAGGAAAAUGUGCCCUGCAGACUGCAGCCUACAUGGCUUCCAUGGAAGAUAUUUGAAUUAUUUUUAUUUGCUUCUGGAUGGUAUUAUAUCCAAAUCAGGUAUAUAUGAUUAUUAUUAUUUUGAACAAUUCUGAGGGUAAAGAUUAAGUUAAAUUUGCAGGUGAUUUCUGCAGUCUGACACAGGAAUUGACAGUGCUCUGUGCAGCAGAGUGCUGUCUGGUCUGACAGGUUAGAUUUAACCUGGCAGAUUUAUUUGUCAGGAGAAGACACCAUGCUUGGCACAUUUAGAAUCUUACUGGUUCUUGCCCAUUGCCACAGCUCACAAAAGCACUUCACAAUUACUCUGAGUUAAAAUAAUCAGUUUUCCAUUACCAACACUGUAAAAUGGGCCAUUCCUUGAACAAAUGCUGUGCCAGAAUUAACUUAUAACAAUCAUUGUAGUCUUGCCCUCACAGCAAACAGAAUCUACCACUUAAAUACAUCAUACAAACAAGAAAGUCUAAGGUUCAAAACAUUUGAAAUAAUUAAUGGGAGAAGCAGAAAAUUAUUCCCAAUUUUAAAUAUUCAGGAGCUUCAUUCUUGUUGUAGGAACAGGAGAAAGGCAGGCUUCCCCUGAGAAUAAACCAGAGCAGGUUUGACUUGUGUGUUUUAACAUGCUGGCUUUCUUAACUGAGCUUUCUAGAGGAAUCCAAAAUUUGGCAAUGUGAAAAUCUACUCCAAACCAUCCUGGUACAGAGCACUAGAUAAAUGGUUUAAAGUGCAUACAAAAGAAUCUUGUCCCUGUGUUUGAGGAUAUGUAUCAGUAACUCUCAGCUUUAGCCUACUAUUCUCAAGGCAAGGCUAGUGCUGGAGAAUUAAAAUACUGCAGUAUUGCAAAUAACAGUCCCAGGACUACGUAUCAUUUUUAUUUGCAUUUCCUGCAGCCUUCUGGCAUCUUAUUAUCCCGCUGGACACAAGGCCAGUAACCUUAAUGAAAUACCAGGAGAUAUACACAAUUCUAGCACUCCUACUUUAAUAAAAAAAUGCUUUAAACUUCUUAGAGCAGAGCAGAUCAUUGGCUGUUUGUAAAGAAUUCCACUUGGGAGAGCAGCUGGUGCAUCAGUGAACCCAGUGCCCUUGACUUUAUGUGCUGCCUAUUAUUUUGGGAAGCAGCUCUGAGAUACAAAUAAACAGACACUUUUUUGGAACCCCUACCAGGAUUAAUAAUCAUUUACUGAGUCUCAACAGUUACACAAACAUUUCACAUGUAUUGCUCAAAGUAUUCCCCCCACCUUCUGUAAACACAGACAUGAAAUCACAAAUCAUAUCUGCUGGGUUAUACCAACUCUGGUGUGUGCUUGGGGCAGCAGAGCCUGUUCCAAAUACUCUGCCUGGGAUUCUGAGCUGCCAAAGGGACUGGGAUGGGCAUGGAGGGAAAGGGAGAUACUGCAGGAAGAAGCUGGGGAGAACAACCCCAGAUGUAGGAAUCCUGAUUCCCUCAGUCUCUCAGCGUGUCUUCAGUCCAGCUCUGGGCUCUACCUCACAUCCUCAAAGUGCUCAGAAUGGUUAGAAUUCAUUCCAGCAGUGACAACAAACUCACCAACAUCAGGUGUGGGAAGAAUGAGAGGCUCAGACCUUAAAUAAAUUGGAAGGUAGCACACAGAGGAAUGACAAGGGGAAAAUAUGAGACCAUGGCAACAUUUCCCUAUUAAUCAUGGAGCUACUGUGAAUGUUGCAUAGAGAGGUGUCAUUGAUUCUUGUUCUUUGUUUCUUUGUUUUAUUUGUCUUGGAGGCUGUGGGCAGAUGCAGAACCCCGAUGGCCUGAGCAAACACAUCACAAACCCUCUGCUCUACACAUCACAAACCUUUAGUGUCUGAUGGGGCAGAACUUCCCGUGAGCUGCUUCUACUUUCUGAGAAGCUAAUCAAUAGCUGGAAUAUCUGCACUUCCAUGCUGCCAAAUCCAAGAACUGUGGGUUACCUGUGAGACUUGGAGCAAAAUCAUGACCCAAUACAGAGCAGCAGGAGUUUUCAGGCUUAUAUCCUUACAUUUGUAACCAAGACAAGAGUUUGAGAAGAACAGUGAAUGCACAAGAAAAGUCACUCUUCAACAAAGCACCAUGUCAGGCCAAUAUGAAAAGGAAAAGAAAGCUCAAAACAAAAUAGAUAGAAAGUAUGCCUUUGCUUCAGUCUCAAACAUGAAAAAAAAAAGGCAGAAAACAUAGCAAAUAUGAAAAUGAAAUGUAUCUGAUCCUU